CUGGAAGUGAUGCAGAUUGUCCAUACGUGAUGUACAGUGAUCGCUUUUGUAUUCAUACUGUCUGAUCCAG